AAUAAAAUUUCGAAAAACUGUCACUGAAGACUAAAUUUCAUUAAAAUUCAAUUGUUAUCUACAGACAAAACGAACUGAAAUCUUCGUUAGGGACAAAUUUGCUAUUUUCUCUAAAAACAAAAUUUUGAUGAAAUUUCCUGUAUUACUCUUUUGAGACGAGCUUACUGAUCGAAUAUGCUUUAAAAUAGAAAAGGAAAGUCAGCGGUUACCACACACCAAACAUGAAAAAAAAAAUUAAUAAUACAUAAAAACACAAUCCCAUGGCCCCGGCACGGGAUGACUAGGAGCACCACAAUGGUUGGAACUUUCAGUUCCGAUUCGUGUGAUGCUCAUCGUCAUUACGAGAAGCUCAGCUGAGAGCUACGUCCACAAGUUGCCGAUGGUGGAAUGCUCCAUAUACCGAGUAGAUGCAACUGAAGUCGUGGUAUCGAGUAGAGUCUCAGUAAAAGGGCGGACGGCACCGGCUCUUGCUUAAAUACUGAGUGUUUAUGAUACUCGAUAUGACAAGGCGAGUUAUGGACACCCUUAAGCAACCAAAGGCCAUAACGUUCCCACGGCGAUCGGUGCUAUGGAUCGGAACGAGCCUGCUCACUUAUGGAGCAUGACGAGGAUCGCCACCUUCACAUUCAAAUGUGGUUAAAACAGCAAUCCGAUGGGAUUGGAAAUAGUGUGCACAUGUAUAAGUGUGCCCACCACUGCUUUAGAGAAAAUUUUAUAGAAAAAUUUGCUUUUACACAAAAUGUCAUGAAAAUUUUAAAAAAAUUAUAAGGAAUCUUAAUUGCUACUCGAAUUGAGAAAUGUCAAUAAAGACAUAGCGCCUUUACGCCAAUUUGGCCUCCUCUCUUACAAAACA